GAUGAAGAACGUAGCGAAAUGCGAUACGUAAUGUGAAUUGCAGAAUUCAGUGAAUCAUCGAAUCUUUGAACGCAUAUUGCGCUCUCUGGUAUUCCGGAGAGCAUGCUUGUUUGAGUAUCAGUAAACACCUCAACUUCCAUAUCUUUUUUGAAAUGGGAGUUGGACUUGAGUGAUCCCAACGCUUUUCCUCACCGAAAAGUGGCGGGUUACUUGAAAUGCAGGUGCAGCUGGACUUUUCUCUGAGCUAUAAGCAUAUCUAUUUAGUCUGCCUAAAAAACAGAUUAUUACCUUUGCUGCAGCUAACAUAAAGGAGAUUAGUUCUUGUGCUGACUGAUGCAGGAUUCACAAAGACGGCUUCGGCCGACUUUGUAAACUCGAUCUCAAAUCAAGUAAGACUACCCGCUGAUCUUAAGCAUAUCAAUAAGCGGAGGA
rnacentral:misc_RNA from 1 species